GUACGAUUAAUAUGUUUCAUGUAUUCCAAUUACAUAUAAUAAUUCAAUUUGUUCUUGUCCAUGUAUUACAUAUAUAUAUAUAUAUAUAUAUGUGUGUGUGUCUGUGCGUGUGUGUGUGUGUAUGUAUGUAUGUAUGUAUGUAUGUAUGUAUGUAUGUAUG
rnacentral:lncRNA from 1 species